rnacentral:rRNA from 1 species
GACGAACGCUGGCGGCGUGCCUAAUACAUGCAAGUAGGACGCAGUUGCGAACGGAUGAGUAACGCGAAGGUAACUGCAUGUUAGAGGGGGAUAACAAUUGGAAACGAUAGCUAAUACCGCAGACUAGUAGAAUGACCUGCGUUGUAUUAGCACGUAGGUAGGGUAAUGGCCUACCUAGGCGACGUUACAUAGCCGAGCUGAGAGGGUGACCGGCCAAACUGGGACUGGGACACGGCCCAGAAUUCUACUGGAGGCAGCAGUAGGGAAUCGUCGGCAAUGGGGGGAACCCUGACCGAGCAACGGCGCGUGAGUGAAGGAGGUUUUCGGAUCGGAAAGCUCUUUUGUUAAGGAAGCGGUACUUAACCAGAAAGGGACGGCUAACGACGUGCCAGCAGCCGCGGUAAUAC